rnacentral:rRNA from 1 species
AUUGAACGCUGGCGGCAGGCCUAACACAUGCAAGUCGAGCGGCAGCGGGAAAGUAGCUUGCUACUUUUGCCGGCGAGCGGCGGACGGGUGAGUAAUGCCUGGGGAUUUGCCCAGUCGAGGGGGAUAACAGUUGGAAACGACUGCUAAUACCGCAUACGCCCUACGGGGGAAAGCAGGGGACCUUCGGGCCUUGCGCGAUUGGAUAUGCCCAGGUGGGAUUAGCUAGUUGGUGGGGUAAUGGCUCACCAAGGCGACGAUCCCUAGCUGGUCUGGGAGGAUGAUCAGCAACACUGGAACUGAGACACGGUCCAGACUCCUACGGGAGGCAGCAGUGGGGAAUAUUGCACAAUGGGGGAAGCCCUGAUGCAGCCAUGCCGCGUGUGUGAAGAAGGCCUUCGGGUUGUAAAGCACUUUCAGCGAGGAGGAAAGGUUGAUGCCUAAUACGUAUCAACUGUGACGUUACUCGCAGAAGAAGCACCGGCUAACUCCGUGCCAGCCGCCGCCGUAAGAC